rnacentral:rRNA from 1 species
CUGACUGCUAUCGGAUUGAUACUAAGCCAUGCGAGUCAUUGUAGCAAUACAAGGCAGACGGCUCAGUAACGCGUAGUCAACCUAACCUAUGGACGGGAAUAACCUCGGGAAACUGAGAAUAAUGCCCGAUAGAACACUAUGUCUGGAAUGAUUUGUGUUCCAAAUGAUUUAUCGCCGUAGGAUGGGACUGCGGCCUAUCAGUUUGUUGGUGAGGUAAUGGCCCACCAAGACUAUUACAGGUACGGGCUCUGAGAGGAGUAGCCCGGAGAUGGGUACUGAGACACGGACCCAGGCCCUAUGGGGCGCAGCAGGCGAGAAAACUUUGCAAUGUGCGAAAGCACGACAAGGUUAAUCCGAGUGGUUUGUGCUAAACAGACCUUUUGUUAGUCCUAGAAACACUAACGAAUAAGGGGUGGGCAAGUUCUGGUGUCAGCCGCCGCGGUAAAACCAGCACCUCAAGUGGUCAGGAUGAUUAUUGGACCUAAGGCAUCCGUAGCCGGCUCUGUAAGUUUUCGGUUAAAUCUGCAUGCUCAACAUACAGGCUGCCGGGAAUACUGCAGAGCUAGGGAGUGGGAGAGGUAGACGGUACUCGGUAGGAAGGGGUAAAAUCCUUUGAUCUAUUGAUGACCACCUGUGGCGAAGGCGGUCUACCAGAACACGUCCGACGGUGAGGGAUGAAAGCUGGGGGAGCAAACCGGAUUAGAUACCCGGGUAGUCCCAGCUGUAAACUAUGCAAACUCAGUGAUGCAUUGGCUUGUGGCCAAUGCAGUGCUGCAGGGAAGCCGUUAAGUUUGCCGCCUGGGAAGUACGUUCGCAAGUAUGAAACUUAAAGGAAUUGGCGGGGGAGCACCACAAGGGGUGAAGCCUGCGGUUCAAUUGGAGUCAACGCCGGG